AAAAAACAUCUUAGAACUGAAGAGGAGAAAGGUUCCUAAACAACAUUACUUGGAUUAGGGUGAAUCGAUCCUAAAUUACAGAUGGAAAUCCUUAAGAAAUAUAUAAGUGACAUAUAGUCAAUAUAAGGAUUGAAAGGGAAUAAGAUUAAUAGUUCUUAAUCAAGAGAAUUAAUGAUUAAAUCUUAGAAAUAAGAUUAAAUCGAAUAAAAUGGUAACAUAUCAUGAACUUUAAAAUGGAGUGUGAAAAUCUACGGAAGAGUUCUCUUUUCUUCUUAACAAAAGUAAACUCCACUGAAAUGAAUCAAUCAGAGAAGUGGAAUUUAUUGGCUUUGUAAGAAAUUCAACAUAUGAUUGAAUUGUGGUAUUUUUGCAGUCUUCAUAAAAAUUAAAGGGAAUCUUAGCAUAAAGCUAAUUAAAGAAUUCUUUUGCUCGUACUAAUAACCGCAACAGGUCUCCAAGAAGCAAAAUCUUUAGUUAAAUAGAAUAACGCAGGUAAGGGAAGUCGGCAACAUAGCUCUGUAAGUUAGCAAGAAAGAGUAGCUCUGGUGAUUUCCUUGUAAAAGGAUUAAAAUCGAAUCAGAACUUUAAAGGUUAGGGGAAUCCGACUGUUUAAUAAAAACAUAGCAUUCUGAUAAAUCUAAAAGGUUCAUUACAGAAUGUGAUUUCUGCCCAGUGCUCUGAAUGUCAAGGUAAUGAAAUUUACUUAAGCGC
rnacentral:ncRNA from 1 species